rnacentral:lncRNA from 1 species
AGCCAUCUCAGGAGGUGGCUUUGCAUCACAGCAGUUACCCUUUACCAGGUUGUUAUCCCUUGACAGCAUCAGAAGAGGCUGCUUCCUUAUAAGCAGUCCAAACACUUUGCCUUCUUAUUGCCUUUCAUCACCUGUUUCCACGAGGCUUUAAAAAAAAAAAAUGUCCAGUACACGCACAGAUAUUUUUAGUUAACCUUUCGACAUGCGCCCCUUUCAGGAUGACUGAUGUAUGAGUUUCUCACCCAUUGAGAAUCACUAUUUACAAUGAUUUUUCUCUAGUCCAAUCUGCAUUUUAAUCAACUGAAUUUUAGAUGUGGCUUAGGUUCUAACUGUUGCAUCCAUUUUAAACAUGUUUCUUGUGUUCUUUAAAUCACCUUUCACCGUGUGACAGUUUUCCCAUUCCAGCCAAUUUGAACUAAGCUUUUCAAGGAAAAAUUGGUAAAAUCUACACUACUCUUACUGCCUGCGUGUAAUGUCCAUUUUUUUUCUGGACUCACAGUCUAACCUGGAUGAAUGCACUUACUGGAACUACACAUUCAAAAUCCAAGCUUCUCUGGAAAGUCAAUUUGUCAUAAAUAUAGGAGAGAUCAAUGAAUACUAAGCCAGAUUUUGUGAGAAACAUCCAACUCUGGAGCCCCUGCCUUCUGUGAAAACAAAAAUACUUUCACAAAAAGAAUAUUUUCUCAUGUCAAAUCUCAGUUUUAUUUACUUGAUUUAGAAUAAAAAUUAAGAUAGGAAACAAGAGGAACUUGUUUUAGAAUAAUCUGUUUGCAAAGCAAGAUUUGUCUUAAUAGGUACAAACAUAGCACAAUUCUAAGAUUCUAUAGAUGAUUUCCAAACUCAAUCAUCUUACCAGUAAAGACCUAGAAGACUGUUAAGUUUUAGUAGUGAGGAUAUUCUAGACAAUCAAUUUAGUAAGGCAAUACACAAAUUAUCUAAAAAGUAGAUAAAAGUAUUCUAAUUCAUUGCAAAAUUAUGUAUCUUUGUUUUCUGGUUUUUAAAGCUAUUUUGCACUUCUCAACUGCUAUUUCAUUUAAAUAUAUUCAUUUGAUUUUCUUAGUGAAAAAGAUAUUCUUAAAUAAGGUAAUUAGGCUAUCCAUUCAACAUAUUUAAUUUCCUUCUUAUAAAAAGAGAGUUUUUUAAUGUUUGCCUCCCCUUCAUUAUUUCACAGUUAUUUUAAAACAAUUUUUCAUCUCUUUAACUACUUUUGGCUAAAAAAAAAAGAAAACAUAUUCAUCUUCAUUUAUGUUCCAUUUCAAGUCAGAGCCCUCCUUCUUGAGUCUGCUAACAGCUCAAAGGAAGUCCAGCUAUUAUCCUUGGGGUAAAAUAUAGGUGUACAAACACAGUUCACAUAAAACAGAAUUACCUGUAGGAAAUGACUGUUCUAAUACCAGCAAUAAACAACUCAAUUUCAAGUCUGUCCAGUCUUCAAAUGCUUAUAACAUUAUAACAAAUCUCUACAAAUGGCCAUAUGGUCAAGAUCUGGGCCUCUCUGAGAAAAGGCCAUGCUGCUCUUCUCAUUUGCCCCAUUUUCCCUGAACUUGAGCAUGUGUUCAGGUGGGCAAACUCCUAUCUAGUUCUGUUCCUGAUCUCCCAUGUUCACUCCUCAGUGCUCCACAGUCUCUCUCACCUGUUCCUCCUCUGGUCACUCACCAACGACAGUCUCAGUUGACCCAGAGGAUCAUGCAAGAGCUGCCCCUGCAACUUGGGAUGUCUCCUUAGUUAACAGGCACUGCCUCUGGGGAAGCCUGUGCUUGGUAACAGCCCCCUAUCUCAUCACAGGGCUGGACAAAGAGCUGGGCUGACGCAGCCAAAGUGCCUUACCCUGCCAUCAUUGCUCUGGUUUGGGCACAUGCAGGAAUCCUAGCAAGGAAACUUUUCUUCCUUCUCUGGUUUCCUAACAAAAGGAUAUAAGUCCUUAACUCUGUAGCUUUGUUUCCUGACACAUUUAAACCAAAAGGAAAUGAAAAAGAGCAGAUGUUGGAGAUCAGGGAAUAAUCUUGUAGAUCUCACCCAUGAUCCAGUUUCCCUAGAGGAUGGUCCCAUUCCUUCUGCUGGGGGAAAAAAAGAUAAUAAAUCCCCCCUUUUUAGAUUAAAGAUUAAAUAGGAUGCAGUUGGAUGUGCAUCUCUUACAACUGAAAUAAUCUUGACUAAAAUAAAAAGGGUGAGAUCUGGGAACACAGUUGAGUAGAAGCCUUAGGCACACUGUCAUGUGGGACCAACUGGAGAUUUACACUUUUGGCCACUUGGGGAGUUGGUGGUAAUGACUAGAGAGGAAAAGACAGUGAAAGGACGAGAGAGGGAAAGUCCAAAACUUGGGAUGAUGUUGUAAAUGAAAGUAGGUCAAGUAAUUUCCAGAGCUCUACAAAUCAGAGAAACUACUGAGGACCGAGAUAAAUAAGAGAUAUGUGACAGCAGGUAUCUCAGGUUUGCUCUUUGGGAACUGGGUUUCCAUGCAAAUGACUUGGCACAGGAAGUUGAGGCAUGAGUAAUCAGGAGUUGGUAUACCAGAACCAUAGUAGGCUCAAACAAAUGACCAACCAAUACAGAUCCCUUUAGCCAUUAUAGUUACUCUCCCUAGGGGAGUGAUUGCCCCCCAAAUCUGGGCUGGAAUGAAACAAGUAGCAAGUACAGGUAUCUGUAGCUUCCAUCAUUCUCUUCCCACCAGCACCACUUUAACUGUCAAUCUCUUUCUGCAGGCUUGACUCUAAGUCAUAACCCUGACUGUAAUUUUUGCCACUUCUUAACAGAUAUGAGCUUCUUUCUUCCCAGUCAAUUCCCAGUUUCCAAAUAGGUCAGGUUCCAAAUAUUUGUUUGUGUGAGCUGGAAAAGUAAUUAUUCAAAAUGUAUGUGAGCUUAGUGGGUUUUUGAAGGCUGGUCUGGAAACCCAUCUGCAAAAUAAAUUGAUGCUAGGGGAAAAUGGACUCUGAGCUGAGACUCAGGACUCCAAGCACACAUCUCCCCAUCCCAGCUUCAAGCCUAAAGCCAGAGCUACUGCAACACGGCAGGAUCCAGAAAAAUCCCUUCCCUACUUUGCAUCUCUAACAGCCAAUAAGAAGGAAGCAUCGAAUGCUCUGGUUAUCUAUUGCUGUAUAACAAGCCACCCCCAAAAUUACUGACUGUAAGCUGACUAUGAAUAAAAACCACUCUAUUGUGUCUCAUGAUUCUGGUGGUCAAGGAUUUGGGUAAGUUUCUACAGAGCAAUUUUUUUCUGCUCACUUAAAGUCUACUGGGAUCACUUUUGCCUGAUAGCUUGGUUUCUUGCAUUCUGGAAGAUCCCUGAGGACUUCAGUCAUGUGCCUGAAACCUAGGCAAGAACAUCUGCAAGGCUGGACUCAGCUGGGUCCCUCUUUCUCUUCUUGUAGUUCCAGAGCCUCUCUACCCUCCUCCAACAGUGCAGUUAGGCUUCUCACAUGGCAUCUCAGGACUUCAAAGGAAUAUAGUAAAGCUGCUUAUUCUUCAAAUGCUAAGUGCAAACCAGCAGAACAUCCCAUCUAGCAUAUUCUACCUGUCAAAUUGACACAGGCCCACCCAGAUUCAAAAGGAGAAGAAACAGCCCUCCACCUUUCCAUGAGAAGAAUGUCAAAGAAUUUUCAACCUUUCUUAAUCCAUCACCACAGUGUUCUUCUAGGACUCUUUUUGUUUGUUUGUUUGCUUUUUAGGGCCACACCUAUAGCAUAUGAAAGUUCCCAGGCCAGAGUGCUAUGCCCUGUGAAUAUGAUGGUAAGUAAGGCAGGCAGAUCAUUUCUUCCCUUAUGCAGAUUACAUUCUGAUACAUAAUAUAAGAAUGUAUUUGAACUCUGACAAGUUCUAUGACUGGGUAUUUAAACAUGGAGCAUGUUCUAGAAGAGGUGUUAUUCAAGGAUGACCUACAAGCUGAAUAGGUGCUAGCCAGACCAAGAGGGAAAGAGUAUUCAGGACAGAGAGAAAAAUUUGCAAAAGACUGAAGUUUCUAUAGACAGCAUAGUAUCAGUCUUCUUCUAGACUGAAGUUGAAACUGAGUGGAAAUUAUAUAAAGGAACAAGCAGGGGAAAGAAAAGACUGGAGAAGUAAUCAGGAGCCAAAUCAAGAAGAGUCUUAUAAUCACUUCAAGAAAUCAGAACUUUAUUCUUAAAUGUGGGAACCUAAACUAAUAGAGAAUUGAAGGAUUUCAUCAAAGAAAAGACAUAAUUAGAUUUAUGUUUCUAAAGAUAGCCUGGCUGCAGUAGGAGGAAUGCAAUGAAUGAUAGCAAAGCUGGAAACCAGGAGAUUAUUUAGUAGAUUGUGCAAUAAUAUUAGUCAAAGGUCAUGGUGGCCUGAUUAGGGAAGUGGCAGUCACUAUAGAAAAAAAGGGGGAGGCAGUAGUUUUAAAAGCUAUUCAGAAGAUUAAAUCAACUGGAUUUGCUUCUUGAAUGUAGAUGGUAAGAGAGAUGAAAGAGGAAAAGCUGCCAUCCAACUAGUGAUUCAAGUUUUGGGGAAGAUGGAUGGUGCCAUUCACUGAGGCAGUGAACAGAGGAAAAGGCUCAGGUUUGAAGAUGGGAGUGAGUGUAUUUUGGAUGCACUGAAUUUGAGGUACCAGUGAGACAUUUACAGAGAUUUCCUGUAUGUGGUGAGAAGGACCCUUCACAGGAGGCUAAAAAGGCAGGACUAGAGUUGAAGAAAAGAGUAAUGCCAUAUAAACCAACAAGAGUCAAUGUUCAAGAAAGAGUGAUCGGCAGUUUCAAAUUCACUUCCUGCACAUCAGGCACUGAGCUAGAAAAUGGAACCCCCCAAAAUGACUAAGAUAUUCUUACUGCCUCUGGAAAUAUUAUUGUGCUGUUUCCCUGUGUCUGAUCCCUACCCUGGCUCCCUUGAUGCUGAGAUUUUUAUCUUCCUCUCUACAAUUCUCCUGGAAUCUGGAGUUCUGGCCCAAAUUCCAGUUUGUAUGGAAUGGUACUUAAGUCAUGCUAACUCACUUCUUCUUACAAAAUAUGUGGUACUUGACUCCCCACUGCUAAAAAUUUGUCUAUAUUCCUUUCUAUACUUGAUAGGAGUCUGUUGUUUCUAUGCUCCUGUUAUGAUCUGGCUCAUUUUGUUUCUAAAUGUUUCCUUCCUACUGCCCCUACCAAGCCAAACUACUUGUGUGAUAUGUAUAUGGAAUGACCCUAAACUGGAUGCUCGUAAGACAGAGACAACCUAUAUUCUUAAAGAUAAGAGUCCAAGAGGAGUCUCAAGUCUUGCUUUCAGUUAAGUUUUUUUCUCUUCCCUAUAACUCUGGUAACUCUUUUGUGUGUUCUAUUAAGAGAAUACUGUGAAAUUUCUUCUUUCAGAGGACAUUUAUCAGCAGGAUAUCAACCUGAUAGUAUCUUUGGACACUCAGGUU